rnacentral:lncRNA from 1 species
AGUCACGUGGGAGGACAAUGGUGAGAAGAGGGAACCUAAGAAUUCCUGGACUCUGACUGGGCGUGAGAAAUGGCCGGAAGUAGCUUCGAGUCCGUCAUUCAAGCAGUAGAGGCUCUGGAGAAAAACUGGAGCGCAUCUGCUUAAAGGGCCGCCCAGGGUCAGGAUGGAGGGGCAAAGUCCGAGCAGGAACACAGGCCCCAGACCAGGAAGGCAUUCUGCUAAAGAAGGGGACCCGAAACCUCAGCUACCAGCGCCGAUGGUUCAUCCUCCGAGGAAACCUCCUCUUCUACCUAGAACACUAGACCGACCAUGCACCCCUGAGCCUCAUCCUGUUAGAGAACUGCCAGGUGGAACCACACCUUAAGGCUGCAGAACCCUAUGCCUUUACCAUCCUGACCCCUGGGGUGGAGGGCACAGGUGGGCGGGCCUACAAGCUGGCUGCAGAAACCCAGGAAGAGCUGGAGACUUGGCUGUGGGCACUGGCUGGCGCGAGCUGGAGGCGGCUGGCUGGGCUGCUGUCCCCCCUCCCCCCCCACCAAAACCCAAUACUGGGAGCUGUGCCAGGCAACUGGCCAAGAACCCAUCUCAUCCCCAGAGGACAGUGGCUUUCUAGCCACUGUGAGUACCCCCUCCAGCUUCCAGGAGUUGCAUGAGCACUUUGGGAAGGAGAUCCGGGUGCUGCACGUGGUACAUAGAGAGCUCCAGGCAGCCAGUGACAAUGGAGACAGCAGAUCCCAGGCAAAGAUGGAGCAGGAGCUCAACCAGUGUCUGAUGAGUGACUGAGAGAUGGACCCAAAGCUAAGAGGUACCUACUUGCCAAGACAGCAGACUGCUUCAACAGAGACCCAGGUCCUGGCUCUGUCCCUCCCUCCCUCGUCCUUACCCCAUCCCCCCCUCAUCAAAUAACAAGGCAGAAAACAGGCCCAGGUACAACAGCAGGUUCUUUUCCAAUUCCUCAAAGCGCUGCAUGGGGUGGGGGCAGAGACAGAAGAGAAUGUAAACAUUGGGUUCCACCCCCUGGAGCUCAAGGGAAGACCCUUACCCAGAUAGGGACUAACUGGAGGGGUGGAAGGGAACAAGGUGAAAGGUAUGGGUCCUGGUGAGACAAAAGCAGGGGGGCCUGAGAACACAGAGCAAGGUGGGUUUGGAGGGAGCACAGCAGGGUGCAGGAAGGGAGAUGGGGGACAUUUCCUAUUCCAGUGCAUGUCCCCUUAAAUAAACUGGGUACAGGAGCAUUAUGGAAGGAGAACCAAAGGACAGAAGACAAAGCGAGCACCCCCACCCCAGGCCAACGCCAUCCUCUGUACACAAUUACAACACAGGUCCAGAAUGAGAGCCCUGGCCAGGAAGUGGGGGAGACAGGGAGGGCUGAAGACAGGGAAAAGGAAGCCAGCUCCACCUCAUGGUAAGGGGAGCUAUGGAGUGUAAGAAUCUGAAACUGCUGACUCCCAUCACCAGGAGUCACCCCUGGGAUGACAACGGGCCAUUCAGGACAGCACCUAGGAGGGGACCCAGAGGGAACUGGGGCAGGAGCGACAGAGACCCCAGCUGAGCCUCAUGGGAGAUGAGAGGCUCCAGACUCAUUUGCAGCUGCCCAUCUGUCCUGCCCGUGUAGGGAUCAGCAGCUGGCGAGGAGAUGGGGAACCAAGCCACUUUCCCCAGCAAGGGACAGCCUGACAAGGUGCUAGGGGGUGGCACCUUGGGCCAGGCCUGUUCUUGGCUGAGGGAAAGAGGGGGGCCAUGCAGUCCAGCCCCAGGGCAGAGGUCAGAAGUAAGCGUCCUGCCGGGCCUCGGCUGAGGGCCUGUCCCCACCAUCAUGGGGGCCUGGGGGCCCAUCUGCCUUUCGACGCAGCGAAAGCUUCCGGCCUUGAGCCUUCUUCUCCUGCUUCUGCCGCUCCUUCUCCUGCUUCUCUCGCUCCUUUUCCUGCUUCUCUCGCUCUUUCUCCUGCUUCUGCCGCUCCUUCUCCCGCUCCUUCUCCUGUUUCUGCCGCUCCUUCUCCUGUUUCUGCCGCUCCUUCUCCUGCUUCCGGGUCUCCUUGCUGGAACCCAAGGGGGUGCUAUUGCCAGUGGGUGAGGGAAGGGAUGGAUGCAGUCCCUCAGCAGUGACCACAGGCCCUGGGGCAGGCCCAGCACUGGCUCUGCGGACGGGGGGCGGCGGGGACGGGGCCCCUCCAGCUGCCCGGGAGCCUCGGCUCUUGAGGCCAGGGAGGCUGAGGAGGCUGGAGGAGGGGCCCAGGGGUGGCUGUUGCCGCCGGCGCUCCUCGUGGAUGGCCCGGGACCCAUGCAGUCGCCGUGAGGGCCGAUACUGCAGCUCCCCCCGCGUUUCCCGCCACUUCUUGAGCUGGGCUGCAUUCUCCCGCUCAAUCAGUGCUUCUGUCACCGGCAGAUUGGUCACCUGCACAGAGAGGAAAUGCGUACCAGAAUGGAGCUGAGGGUGGGAGCGGGCUGAGGCAGGCAGGGGCUGCGUUGAGGGCACAGGCCUACCUCAUGCACCAGGAAGUCUUCCUGCAUGCACUGCUGGGGCAGGUUACGCAGCUGCUCCAUGGUCUCAUACAUGCCUUGGCAGGAGCGCAGCUUCUCCACUGAGCCCAGCGUGUGGCGCAGCAGGACCAGGGCCACCCGGAAGAUGAUCUUAACGCCUGCAGGGGUGGAGAGUAGAGAGCAUGGGGUGGUCAGACCCAAGAUCUCAGCCUGUCCUGAUCAGGAUAGACUCACAGCCCCCAUCCCCAUCUACUGCCAAUCUCAGAUGAGGAAACUGAGGCCCUGUGAAAGUACAUGAGCUGCUAUCAGUCUCAGGAUCUUGGCAGGGAGAGCAGGCUCUGGGUUGGUGGCAGAACUAAAAUCAGGCCUGUUUCUCCAGCCCCCAGCUGCUUAUGGUGAAACCUCCACCCAACAAGUACCUUUUGUCCAUGGACCACCAGAAAUAUGACAGAACCCCUGGUAGCCACCACAGAAACCCCAGCCCCUCAUGGCCUGGAGGGCCACAGAAGUACCUUCACAGAAAAACAUGUCCCAGACACGCAGCACCGACGCCCAGGGCAGGGUGCGGGCGAAGAUGCACAUGAACCACUCCGUCAUGUAGAGCACAGGGUCAAUGCGCUGCCGCCGCAGGUGGCGAUGCGCCAGCGGGGAGGCCCGGCGCAGGAGUGCAAAAAAGAUCUCCCCGUCCAGCUGAAUGGCCUCCUGCAGGUGGGACAAGCCAUGAGAAGAGGGCCAAGUCAGCUGUGCCCCCAUCAGGGGAGAACUGGCCGGCCCUGUGGGCAGAAGCCGGGAAGGCCAGGGUGGGGCAAGGCAAGGACCUGCCUGCAGCCUGGAGGAAACGCCACAGCCCCGGAUGCACCCAGCCUCCAGACACUCACCAGCCCUGCACUGUAGUAACCUGGGAGGUACUUGUCGCAGAUCUGCACCAGGCACCAAAAGGCUUGCUGAGAAGAGCAAGAACAAGGAGGAGGGGUGGGGCCUGAGAAGCAGGGAGCAGGGAGCUCCCCCAUCACCACUGUAGGGUGAGAUCCCCCCUGCCCCUCCCGGCCCAGGACCAGGGCGCUGACCUCCGCAGGCAUGUGCAUGAGCAGGACCGCAGCCACGGGGGCCUGGGCCUGGCAGUAACCCUCGUCAGGCCGGUAGAUGGUGUAGGCCUUCAGGAUUCGGUACAGGUCCUGUUGCCUGUGGGGGUUGGGGAAGACUGUGAGGGCAGUCACGGGCUGAGAGCUCUGUCCCCAAACCCAGUUCCAGAUUCGUCCCAGAGUUUAUCACCAGGCUCCUCCAUCCACCUGCCCAGUCCUGCUGAGCGAGCUUCAGCUAAAGGCUCAGCCCACAGCAGAGCACUCCAGGCCCCGGGGCUCCGCCUUUGGCUACAUACUCCACAUGCUCCUGGCCAUCCCAGCACAGGCUGCACCCUCGCCCUCCUUCCUCAGCCACAUCCCAGAAACCUUCCAGGUCAUUUUCUCCAGGAAGCUUUCCACAGCUGCAGCAUCAGCCCUCCUCUAGCACUAAAUGUCUUUGUCACCCCAAAGCAGUAGCUCCCCAGGGCAGGGCCUGCCUUAUCGGUCUCACUGGAUUUCAUGGUUCUUGGGGAAGGCUUGGAAGCCAGCUGUGCCUCAGCCCUUUCUCCUGUCUCUGCAUCCAAAAGAAUAAAAUCUGUACCCUAGA